rnacentral:rRNA from 1 species
CCCUUAGAUGUUCUGGGCUGCACGCGCGCGACAAUGACGUUUGCAACGAGAUACGAGACCGAAAGGUUAAGUUGAUCUAGCAAGCUGCGUCGUGAUAGGGACUGUCGAUUGCAAUUAUUCGACACGAACGAGGAAUUCCUUGUAAUCGCACAUCAUCAGUGCGCGCUGAAUACGUCCCUGCCCUUUGUACACACCGCCCGUCGCUCCUACCGAUCGAGUGAUCCGGUGAAUGUUUUGGAUCGGUUGCAAGUUGCGCGACGCGCUUCUUGCAUGCUGUGAAAUCAUGUAAGCCUUAUUGCUUAGAGGAAGGAGAAGUCGUAACA